UUUAAAAGGGACGGCGAAGUUGCCUGCUUUCUUCUCGACAGCUAUGAGAGAGAACUGAGAGCAGUCACAUCAACAUCAAUGAAGGGAAAGCCCUCUAGUAUUAACUACUCCAGAAGUGUCCAGCAUUUCUAGUGGGACAGACAGAUGAGCAUCUUGGCGCAAUUGCAGAAGCCCCUGAAAUUGCGAACCUUGAACAGAGGAUCAGCUUUCCAGGAGACUGCAAAUUUAGAAUGAUGGCCCAUGUUGCUUCAAAGGCACCAUACAAAAAGGAAGGGUUCAUCUGUAAAUACCAUAAUUUGUUAAUUUCUGUAAAUAAAUAUAUUGCAAAUAACAUUAUUGCCCAUGUUACUGUCAUUU